rnacentral:miRNA from 1 species
UGUGUGUGUGUGUGUAUGUAUGUGUGUGUGUAUAUAUAUAUAUAAUAUAUAUAUAUUAUAUAUAUAUAUACACACACACAUACAUACACACACACACACA